rnacentral:rRNA from 1 species
UGGGGAAUUUUGGACAAUGGGCGCAAGCCUGAUCCAGCCAUGCCGCGUGCGGGAAGAAGGCCUUCGGGUUGUAAACCGCUUUUGUCAGGGAAGAAAUCUUCUGAGUUAAUACCUCGGGGAGGAUGACGGUACCUGAAGAAUAAGCACCGGCUAACUACGUGCCAGCAGCCGCGGUAAUACGUAGGGUGCAAGCGUUAAUCGGAAUUACUGGGCGUAAAGCGUGCGCAGGCGGUUUUGUAAGACAGAGGUGAAAUCCCCGGGCUCAACCUGGGAACUGCCUUUGUGACUGCAAGGCUUGAGUGCGGCAGAGGGGGGAUGGAAUUCCGCGUGUAGCAGUGAAAUGCGUAGAUAUGCGGAGGAACACCGAUGGCGAAGGCAAUCCCCUGGGCCUGCACUGACGCUCAUGCACGAAAAGCGUGGGGAGCAAAACAGGAUUAGAUAGCCCUGGUAGUCCACGCCCUAAAACGAUGUCAACUGGUUGUUGGGAAGGUUCCUUCUCAGUAACGUAGCUAACGCGUGAAGUUGACCGCCUGGGGAGUACGA